rnacentral:rRNA from 1 species
AGUAAGUAAAAUAUAUGUAUAUAUAUAAAUGAAAUUAAAGUAUUAAAUGAUAUAUCAUUAAAUUUAAAAGAUUUGGCGGUAUUUAAUUCAAGUUAGAGGAACUUGUUUAGUAAUUGAUAAUCCACGAUAAGAGUUACUUAGUAAAAUAUUUAUGUAUUGCUGUUUAAAGAUUUAUUUUAAGAGUUUUAUUAUAAUUCAUAACAAAUAUAGUGAAAUAAUUCAAGUCAAAAUAUAGUAUUAUUAAGAAUUAAAAUGAGUUACAAUUAAUUAAAUUAAUAUGAAUUCUAAAAUUUAAUUUUUAGAUGAAGGUGGAUUUAAAAGUAAAUUAAAUGAAUUAAUUUAGUUGAAAGGUGUUUUUAAAUAUGU